UACGGAGGGGGCUAGCGUUGUUCGGAAUUACUGGGCGUAAAGCGCACGUAGGCGGACUGUUAAGUCGGGGGUGAAAUCCCGGGGCUCAACCCCGGAACUGCCUUCGAUACUGGCAGUCUAGAGGAAGGUAGAGGCUAGUGGAAUGGCGAGUGUAGAGGUGAAAUUCGUAGAUAUUCGCCGGAACACCAGUGGCGAAGGCGACUGGCUGGACCUUUUCUGACGCUGAGGUGCGAAAGCGUGGGGAGCAAACAGG
rnacentral:rRNA from 1 species